ensembl:lncRNA
CAGAAUAGUGAAUGCUAAGGACUGGCACGACCAAAACCCUGAUUCUUGUGAAUGCAGGUCUUCAAGAGGAUAUGAAUGCACAUCAAAACCUCAGUCCUGUAGGGAGUUCGUCCAAACCGAGAUCACUAUGGGCUUCUGCUUUGGAUUUGCUGUCAUAGCAAUGCGGAGGGCCUGAUGUGGAGGAGACUGGGGUGCCUUGGUGGUGGGAUCCUUUGAGUAUUACACACCUGCGUUUUUAGUUUAUUAAUGUGAGCAUGUGAUAGUGUGCUGCACUUGUGUAUUGGUGAGUUUUCUUUUCUUUUUGAGUUGUUUUUGUGUGUGGCAUCCCUGCCCCUCCACUGGUAAGCCUCUGCUCUGAAUACUUUUUAGAAUAUUUGUAUAUUGAUAUUUAUGCUCGUGUUUUU